ACGCCGCGGUGACGAUGAAGGUNUUCGGAUCGUAAAGUUCUGUUAUGAGGGAAGAACAAGUGCCGUUCAAAUAGGGCGGCACCUUGACGGUACCUCACNAGAAANCCCCGGCUAACUACGUGCCAGCAGCCGCGGUAAUA
rnacentral:rRNA from 1 species